rnacentral:rRNA from 1 species
GAUGAACGCUGGCGGCGUGCUUAACACAUGCAAGUCGAACGAUGAACCCGGAGCUUGCUCCGGUGGAUUAGUGGCGAACGGGUGAGUAACACGUGAGUAACCUGCCCUUGACUCUGGGAUAACUGCGGGAAACUGUAGCUAAUACCGGAUACGACCCUCGGCGGCAUCGCCAGGGGGUGGAAAGAAUUUCGGUGAAGGAUGGACGGGCGGCCUAUCAGCUAGUGGGUGAGGUAACGGCUAACCAAGGCGACGACGGGUAGCCGGCCUGAGAGGGUGACCGGCCACACUGGGACUGAGACACGGCCCAGACUCCUACGGGAGGCAGCAGUGGGGAAUUUUGGACAAUGGGGGCAACCCUGAUCCAGCAAUGCCGCGUGAGUGAAGAAGGCCUUCGGGUUGUAAAGCUCUUUUGUCAGGGAAGAAACAGCAGCUCUAACACAGUUUGCGAAUGACGGUACCUGAAGAAUAAGCACCGGCUAAC